AGCUUUGCACAGUGGCUUUAUCGUAGCCAAUGAGGUUUAUCCGAGGCUCAAUUAUUGCUAAUUGAAAACUUUUCCCAAUACCCUACCAUGACAACUUGAAAUAUAGUUGGCACUGGCAAUUUUUGACGGUCUCUAUGGAGA
ensembl:snRNA U4 U4 spliceosomal RNA